rnacentral:tRNA from 1 species
GCGGUCGUGGUGGAAUUGGUAUACACAGCAGACUUAAAAUCUGCCGCCGAUUAGGCUUGCGGGUUCGAGUCCCGCCGUCCGCA